UUCAAUUAACCAUACGUGCUAUAAUUAUUUGUGCUAUGAAUAGUAGCUGGUGAUGUAGGAUUCAUUUUCCGAUUUACAAGAGAGAUUUACAAAAGAGAGGAAAUAUCAAUUAAUUUUUUUACGUUCUAUAAUAGAUUUGUCCUUGGACAUUAAAAAUAUCAUCAAGGGCAAUGAAUAUGUCUUAACAUAUGGGAUCAAUUGUUGUAUCAAAUUCAAAAAACCACCAUUUGAAAAAUUUGACCCUGGCUAAGAUAAACAUCAGUGAACAAUAUAUUAUAAGGAAAACUCUGUACAAGAUACUAGAAAUGCUAAAAGAUGACCAAGAAGCUUUUACACAAGUCAGGCUAUUAGACGCCAAUCCCUUGUAAUACAGAA